UUGACCGGAAAACAAACACACCGGACGACGGACAGGAGAGGUAAAGAGAGAGACUCAAUCAAUCAUACAGAAGAGAGAGACAGAGGGCGACCCACCACCAAUACCUAAGAGCUACGAUGAUGCGACUAAUCGUGUAGGAGGGCAGGUGUUUUUACUACCGAAAAUGUCCCGGCCAUAGGUGAGCGAGUGAGAAGAUGAUAAAGAAAAACUAGUACUAGUAAUUGUAUGAUAAGAUUGAAUUUUAGAAUCCGAAAAUCUCCUUCUAUCCAAAGAUUUUUGGUUUCGAACUCCUUGAUUUCCAUGUAUAAUAUCCAAAGAAGAAAGCUCUGAGGUCGGCAACUCAUUGAUUUUUGGCCAUGGAAGCUGCUUCCUGUUAGUUUCUGCUUCAUUGUUGCCUCGACGACCAAUCUCUAAAUGAUCUAGCUCACUCAAACACCCAAACUCAGCUGGAAUUUCUCCAUCCAAUAAAUUCCCGGCAUGAUGAAUGUAACAUGUUUGAGACAAGUAACUUGUAAUGGAAGUGGAUCAGACAGAACAGAGUAUACUCUGUUUCCACCUCUAUCUCUAGGAGUACUACUUAAUUCUUGCUUCUUUCUUGAAAUCUCUUUCAUCCUCGGAGGAGAAGGAAAUUCAUUCAUUUUCCAAACAACUUCAUUCUUUCUAUCUAAAAUCUCUCUUUCAAAGACAUAUGAAAGGGGAGCAGUGAAAUUAUUACUGUAUGUUAAAGAUUUCAACUUUGAAAGGGAAAACAUCGAGAGAUUUAAGUUGAGCUAGUAAAUCAAAAUUGGAGUUACUUAUCAAUUUCCACUGAGAUUUGAAAGGGAUGCAACCAGAAAGAUUCAAUUUUAUUACUGUGACAUUGAGUACUACUACUAGACCAAGGUCACCAAAGUUGUUUAGAAGAUGUUGAGUUCACUACACUACUUGGGUGUCCCAAAUCGCCGAGGAGGAGAAAAAGUGGGUCUUUAAAAGAAGAUGAUUUAAGUGAUAUAUACUACAUAUUGGUGAGACAAGUUGAAGAGGUGUUGGUGUUCUUGCUGAUGAAGAAGAAGAAUGAAUAUGAAUUCAACGAGAAUAAAAAAGAAGAAGAAAAUGAUGAAUUGAGAAUGUUUUUUUGGUUUCAUGGUUUUCGGUGGUGGUGGGUCUUUGAUUUAUGCCAUGGUGUGCUCUUUACAAGCUUCCUAUUAGUCAUCAAUACACAGUCUCCGAAUCAAGUGAACAUCCGAGCUUCAAAUCACCAAACGGAAUUCACAGACUUCUACCGCUUCUUGGUUGUCUUAUAUCACCAGAGAAAUCGAAAUUCAGUACUACUAGUGAAAUGACAAAAGUAGUACUCCCACAAGUAGUACUCUGAGAAGUGAUUGGUCAUCCAUACCCAACACCCUUCAUCAGAAUCAACAUCAUACACUCUAUCAUCAUCAUCCUCCCUAUCCAUUUAUCAUCAGUUGCUAAUUUAGCUAACUCAUCAUUAACACCAUAACUAGUAUUUUAAGAAUUUUUUUACAGAUGCAUAACCAAAACCCAGUAGCUAGCUAGUUACUCAAGUUUUUUAGUUUCUUAUGAUCUUGAAUCCAAAAAUGACAAGCAGUGAACUCAAACUUAGAUGGAGGUGGUAGUACACAACUCUUUCAAAAGAAGAAGAUACUGAAAUUUGAAUCACUAAAUGUGGUCUUGAAACUGAAACCCAUUUCUUAUUCUCAAACUUUUAACUGAAACAAACCAUCAUCAAGGAUUAGUACUAGUCUAAAAGUUGAGAUGAGAUUACUACAUCACCAGAACAAAGUCUUCUGCCAUUUUCUUUUUGACAGAGAGAGAGACUAAUUGUGGUGGUUUAUGUGUUUGUUUACUGUUUUUAAGGGCAUUUUGUGGGAGGGGGUAGAGGAAAAGUUUGGGAUUUGGGGAGGAAGAUGUUGAGUUCACUAUACUUGGGUGUCUCAAUCACCGAGGAGAAAGAGAAGAUUUAGAGAGACGAGAUUUUGGUGUUCUUGCUGAUGAAGAAGAAGAAGAAGAAGAAGAAUGGAGCUGAAAUGAAUAAGAAAAAGAUGAAAAUGGAAAUGAUGAAUAGAGAAUUGUGUUAUUAGUUUCAUGUUUGCGGUGGUGGUGGGUUUCUGGGGAUGAUGAAAAAUUCAUCCAGAGUAAAUUGAAGAAUGAUAAUUAAGAAGAACAAUCAUCUGAUGAAGAUGAGACCAGAGAAAGGGUUUCAUGAGAUUUUAUCCGCUAACAGUGACCGGCUUGAUCCUGAAUCAAUCAAGAGUGAGUACUUGUGAUGAUUACGACCAAGAAGGUAAUCAAUCAUCUGAUGAAGAUGAGAUGCAAAGAGUGAGUAAUUUUAUAAAUGAAGUCGAACAAGUAGGAACAAUGGGAAUGAAUGAUAUGAAAAUAGUUAUUUCAGAGUGGUUGAUUACAUCUGGUUAUGGUAAAUCUCGAUUGUUGAUGAAGAAGCAUGAAGAGUAAAAUGCUAAAAAGAAUUACUUCUCCAGUCUAGAAAAAGAUUCUAGUGAUGUAUCGCCAACGCCCAUCCAGUAGAUCAGAGGUCUCAACUUGAAAGGGAAAUAGGCAUGUUUUGUAGGGACUGGCUGAAUUACCAACGGGAUCCAUCUAUUAAGUAUUUGGAUAUUUAUUUGAACGAUGAGUGUGAUAAAUAUAUGGAGAAGGUUUACGAAUCCGAAGUUUAUGUAUAAGUUCAGAAACUAAUUAAGACAUUUGAUGAGAAAUCGGUUGAAAACCUCAAACACUUCAUUGACAUGUUGCCAGUGACAAAGGAAGUGUUCAACUAUGGGAUGAAUUGGGAGUUGGUUGAAAAGUAUGAGCUGCUUGAGAAAAUGAGGCCAUGGAUUUCAAAUAUUGCAAGAACCUCAACAGAUGAAGAGGCAGCGGACAUUGUUUCUCAAAUUCUGGAGUAUAUGAAAUAUCAUGAUUCUGUGUCGUCAAUUCAUAAAAAAAUUAUGUCCUUUGGAUUGGUCAGUGAGGGUGAAUCUGAAAGAUUAUUCCGUAACACGUGGGAAAAGCUUUUCUUUGAGAUCAGUAAGCUUGAGGAAGGCAUGUCCUUGGAUCCAAUAGCCUUCCAUAAAUGAAUCUUUCAAUUAUUUUCCUCUCUCUAUCCAGUGCCAUUUUUUCUAUAUUCCCAAAUUUGGUUUAUUAUAGUCGACGGAAAGAAGCCUUUGGGUGUCGAGGAUUUCAAUGAGACACCUAAAACGGAUGAGGAGGUGCGCUUGCUUGAGAUAAAUUGGGCUGUUUUUGACCAGCAUGAGGUGCAUGAGAAAAUGAGAUUUUGGAUAACAAACAAGGUCAUGGAGCUUCUUAAGACAGAAAAGGCCAAUGUAGUUGAACAGGUCGUAGACUGCAUCAGAAAACAAAACCUUCCUUCCCAAAUGCUGGAGCUGCUUGAACUCUCAUUGAUUCAUUGGAUGUUCAUACUGAAACUGAAAAGGUUGUGCGAAUUCUAUGGAGGACGCUUCUCAUACUAGUACAAAUAUUAGAGAUAGGCAGAGAUGAUCAAGGCAUGAUGACAUUCCUUAAUCUUUGUUUCCUUCUUAUCUUUUUUUAACCCUCUGAUGGUUUGCCGUUCUUUCACGUUGAUGUGGUUUGUCUAUCAGACAGAAUUGUGGUUUAAAAGGGGUUUCUUCAAUUCUUCUAUUUACAUCUUACUUGAAUCUUUUAUUCAUCUCUAAAGCAUUCAUUUUAUCCGCUGCGGAGUUCCAUAAAUCCAUAUCGAACGCGGAAGGGAAGAAGCAUAUGCCCUCUGUCAACAACUUGGGUCAGCCAGAUCCAGUCUGGAAUGGUGAUUAGAGCAGUGAUCGUGUCAAAAAUGUGAUUAAAAGGAAUAGGUGCUACAGUUAUCCUUCAUUUUGGCGCCAGAAAAAAAUGCUCGACUUUGAGACCUCUGUGAAGCUAGAUUAGGGAAUUCAAUUCCGAGUGAUAUAGAGACGUUAUCCUCUUACGAGGUUGAUUGGGCUGUGUCUGACAAGGAGGAGUUGCAUAGCCAAUUGAGACCAUGGAUUUUCCGUGAGAUUAUGGAGUUUGUGAGGCUGGAAGAAGCAGGUAAUCCUGUUGUUGACUCUAUUGAUGCUAAUGCAAAAGAUGUUUUGGAGCUCGUCAAGCCUAGUUUGGGUGAAAAAUCUGCAAUUUUUGUGCUGAACUUGUGGAUGAAAAUUAUCUUUGGAAUCCAGUUAGCAGGGACGACAGUACUUGAUCCCUUUCUGGAUAUUGACAGAGAGAGGUCAGCCAGAGAAAUGGUGAAAAUUUCACAGUAUGGUGACAGGUUUAGUCGAAACCGUCAUUUUAUGAUGGUUGCAUUCGACUAUGAGAACCUUCGCAAGCUCAAACAGAUCAGUGAAACAAUGCCGAAAACGAAGGCAGAGCUUCUCUUAUGAGAUAAAGUGGGAUGUUUACGAAAAGCAUGGACUGCAGAAGCACAUGCAUGCAGGGAUAUGGAUAGAGAUUCUGGAGCUCAGUAGGCAGAAACAAGAAGCUAUGCUGGUCGAUGAACAAAUCAUGUGGAGCAUCUUCGAGUAUCAUGUUUCAGCAUCACAGAGGGAGUUCACUGCACAGGGAAAAGCUAUUCACGUGUUUAAACAAAUCAUUUCGAGACUUAACAAGGAUCGUGCUCACCCAUCUGAAAUGGAGGAGUAUCUUGGAACCAUAUUGGGCAGUGGGUGUGAGAAAUUUGUGAUGAAGAUGUGGUAUUCUAUUAUCUGCGGUAUCAGAUUCGCUGAAGCCCGCCUUGAAAGGAAGUGCAAACAGCGACAGGGGAGUAUGAUGCUACUACCAGUGGAGGGUGAAUACGAAGUCGUAGAACUUUGAUGGAUUUCCUUUGCUCUUUUAAGUAUCAGAGUCUUAUCUAAAGGAAUCCCAUCACUAUUAUGCUUUCUUUUGACUAACUUUCUUUUAUUCUUUGUGUGGUGUAAAGGAAUCCUUCAUGGUGGUUAUUAAACACACCAAGUAUGUUCCUAAUGUAGGAUGCGGUGUUGCAGUGCAGUGCACAACAGUGAAAAAAAAUGGGUUAAAAAGUCUGCCCUGGAUGCAGUGAAGUGCAUAAGAGCGCGAAAGUUGGGUUGAAAUGUCUUCCGAAUUGGAACGGACCUAAAGAAGAGACAUGAAAAAGAAAGAAAGAAAUGCACCACUGAUGUGGCAGAAAUGUGAAUGACAAACCGGAGGAGUAACAAAAAAAAAGAGACAGGACUUCCUACAACCAAGGCUCUUGGAGUUGCUUAAAAGGUGUGUGCAAAAACGAGACAAGUAGGUGAAGAAUGGUUCAAACACCAAAGAAAACCGAGAUUUUAUUGAAAAACCUUCCAGUAACUUUAAUAUUCAUUUAGAGUGACAAUGCUCACGUAUAUGAUGAAUGAUUCUUUGUCUCUCCAAAAUUUCACACUUUCCUGUUUACCUAAUAAAUGGUAAUGUACAGUUGCAAGAA